CCUACGGGUGGCUGCAGUGGGGAAUAUUGGACAAUGGGCGCAAGCCUGAUCCAGCAAUGCCGCGUGUGUGAAGAAGGCCUGCGGGUUGUAAAGCACUUUAAGCAGGAAAGAAGGCUUCAGGGUUAAUACCCUUGGGGAUUGACGUUACCUGCAGAAUAAGCACCGGCUAACUCCGUGCCAGCAGCCGCGGUAAUACGGAGGGUGCGAGCGUUAAUCGGAAUUGCGUGGCGGGUAGCCCGCGUAGGCGGUGAAAGCCCCGGGCUUAACCUGGGAACUGCAGUGGAUACUGGCAAGCUAGAGUAUGGUAGAGGAGAGUGGAAUUUCCGGUGUAGCAGUGAAAUGCGUAGAGAUCGGAAGGAACACCAGUGGCGAAGGCGGCUCUCUGGACCAAUACUGACGCUGAGGUGCGAAAGCGUGGGGAGCAAACAGGAUUAGAUACCCGAGUAGUC
rnacentral:rRNA from 1 species